GGGCACGACACCGGAGAGGGAGCCUGAGAAACGGCUACCACAUCCAAGGAUGGCAGCAGGCGCGCAAAUUACCCAAUCCCGAAACGGGGAGGUAGUGACAAUAAAUAACAAUACGGGGUUCUUUCGGAUCUCGUAAUUGGAAUGAGUACAAUUUAAAUCUCUUAACGAGGAACUAUUGGAGGGCAAGUCUGGUGCCAGCAGCCGCGGUAAUUCCAGCUCCAAUAGCGUAUAUUAAAGUUGUUGCAGUUAAAAAGCUCGUAGUUGAAUUUCGGGAUCAAAUUGUCGGUCGUGCCUUGGUACGCACUGGCAUUAUUGGUCCCUACCUUCUGAAGAACCGCGAUGUCAUUAAUUUGGUGUCGUGGGGAAUCAGGACUGUUACUUUGAAAAAAUUAGAGUGUUUAAAGCAGGCGCACGCUUGAAUACAUUAGCAUGGAAUAAUGAAAUAGGACGUUUGAUUCUAUUUUGUUGGUUUCUAGGAUCGACGUAAUGAUUAAUAGGGAUAGUUGGGGGCAUUAGUAUUCAAUUGUCAGAGGUGAAAUUCUUGGAUUUAUUGAAGACUAACUACUGCGAAAGCAUUUGCCAAGGAUGUUUUCAUUAAUCAAGAACGAAAGUUAGGGGAUCGAAGACGAUCAGAUACCGUCGUAGUCUUAACCAUAAACUAUGCCGACUAGGGAUCGGAUGAUGUUAAUUUUUUAAUGACUCAUUCGGCGCCUUACGGGAAACCAAAG
rnacentral:rRNA from 1 species